AAACGGGUGGUAAUGCCGGAUGCUCCAGUUGGAUGCAUGUCCUUCUGGGAAAGAUUCAUCGGUAUGGGAUGGGGUCGCGUCCUAUCAGCUUGAUGGCGGGGUAACGGCCCACCAUGGCUUCGACGGGUAGCCGGCCUGAGAGGGCGACCGGCCACAUUGGGACUGAGAUACGGCCCAGACUCCUACGGGAGGCAGCAGUGGGGAAUAUUGCACAAUGGGCGCAAGCCUGAUGCAGCGACGCCGCGUGCGGGAUGACGGCCUUCGGGUUGUAAACCGCUUUUGACUGGGAGCAAGCCCUUCGGGGUGAGUGUACCUUUCGAAUAAGCACCGGCUAACUACGUGCCAGCAGCCGCGGUAAUACGUAGGGUGCAAGCGUUAUCCGGAAUUAUUGGGCGUAAAGGGCUCGUAGGCGGUUCGUCGCGUCCGGUGUGAAAGUCCAUCGCUUAACGGUGGAUCCGCGCCGGGUACGGGCGGGCUUGAGUGCGGUAGGGGAGACUGGAAUUCCCGGUGUAACGGUGGAAUGUGUAGAUAUCGGG
rnacentral:rRNA from 1 species